CGUGAGUGAUGAAGGCUUUCGGGUCGUAAAGCUCUGUCAAGUGGGAAGAAAAUAAUAAAUGUUAAUAUCAUUUUUUACUGACGGUACCACUGAAGGAAGCACCGGCUAACUCCGUGCCAGCAGCCGCGGUAAUACGGGGGGUGCAAGCGUUAUUCGGAAUUAUUGGGCGUAAAGGGCGCGUAGGCGGUCUUUUAAGUCAGAUGUGAAAGCCCGGGGCUCAACCCCGGAAGUGCAUUUGAAACUAAAGGACUUGAGUAUGGGAGAGGGAAGUGGAAUUCCUGGUGUAGAGGUGAAAUUCGUAGAUAUCAGGAGGAACACCGGUGGCGAAGGCGACUUCCUGGACCAAUACUGACGCUGAGGCGCGAAGGCGUGGGGUGCAAACAGGAUUAGAUACCCUGGUAGUCCACGCAGUAAACGAUGAACACUAGGUGUAGCGGGUAUUGACCCCUGCUGUGCCGCAGUUAACGCAUUAAGUGUUCCGCCUGGGGAGUACGACCGCAAGGUUA
rnacentral:rRNA from 1 species